rnacentral:rRNA from 1 species
GAUGAACGCUGACAGCAUGCUUAACACAUGCAAGUCGACUUGAAUUUGGGUUUUUAACUUGGGUUCGGGUGGCGGACGGGUGAGUAACGCGUAAAGAACUUGCCUCACAGCUAGGGACAACAUUUGGAAACGCAUGCUAAUACCUAAUAUUAUGAUAAUAGGGCAUCCUAUAAUUAUGAAAGCUAUAAGCGCUGUGAGAGAGCUUUGCGUCCUAUUAGCUAGUUGGAGAGGUAACGGCUCACCAAGGCGAUGAUGGGUAGCCGGCCUGAGAGGGUGAUCGGCCACAAGGGGACUGAGACACGGCCCUGACUCCUACGGGAGGCAGCAGUGGGGAAUAUGGGACAAUGGACCGAGAGUCUGAUCCAGCAAUUCUGUGUGCACGAUGAAGUUUUUCGGAAUGUAAAGUGCUUUCAGUUGGGAAGAAACAAAUGACGGUACCAACAGAAGAAGUGACGGCUAAAUACGUG